GACGAACGCUGGCGGCGUGCUUAACACAUGCAAGUCGAACGGAAAGGCCCUGCUUUUGUGGGGUGCUCGAGUGGCGAACGGGUGAGUAACACGUGAGUAACCUGCCCUUGACUUUGGGAUAACUUCAGGAAACUGGGGCUAAUACCGGAUAGGAGCUCCUGCUGCAUGGUGGGGGUUGGAAAGUUUCGGCGGUUGGGGAUGGACUCGCGGCUUAUCAGCUUGUUGGUGGGGUAGUGGCUUACCAAGGCUUUGACGGGUAGCCGGCCUGAGAGGGUGACCGGCCACAUUGGGGCUGAGAUACGGCCCAGACUCCUACGGGAGGCAGCAGUGGGGAAUAUUGCACAAUGGGCGGAAGCCUGAUGCAGCAACGCCGUGUGCGGGAUGACGGCCUUCGGGUUGUAAACCGCUUUCGCCUGUGACGAAGCGUGAGUGACGGUAAUGGGUAAAGAAGCACCGGCUACCUACGU
rnacentral:rRNA from 1 species